UACGGAAGGCAGCAGUGGGGAAUAUUGCACAAUGGGCGAAAGCCUGAUGCAGCUAUGCCGCGUGUAUGAAGAAGGCCUUAGGGUUGUAAAGUACUUUCAUCGGGGAGGAAAAACAAAACUAAUAAUUUUAUUUCUUGACGUUACCCGAAAAAGAAGCACCGGCUAACUCCGUGCCAGCAGCCGCGGUAAUACGGAGGGUGCUAGCGUUAAUCAGAAUUACUGGGCGUAAAGAGCACGUAGGUGGUUUUUUUAAAGUCAGAUGUGAAAUCCCUGGGCUUAACCUAGGAACUGCAUUUUGAAACUGAAAUACUAGAGUAUCGUAGAGGGAGGUAGAAUUCUAGGUGUAGCGGUGAAAUGCGUAGAUAUCUGGAGGAUACCUGUGGCGAAAGCGGCCUCCUAAACGAAUACUGACACUGAGGUGCGAAAGCGUGGGGAGCAAACAGGGAUUAGAUA
rnacentral:rRNA from 1 species